UGAGGAAUAUUGCGCAAUGGGGGCAACCCUGACGCAGCGACGCCGCGUGAGUGAGGAAGGCCUUCGGGUCGUAAAGCUCUGUCAAAGGGAAAGAAGUGCAUGGUGGUUAAUACCUGCCAUGUUUGACGGUACCCUUAAAGGAAGCACCGGCUAACUCCGUGCCAGCAGCCGCGGUAAUACGGAGGGUGCAAGCGUUGUUCGGAAUUACUGGGCGGAAAGGGCGCGUAGGCGGUUUGAUAAGUCAGAGGUGAAAGCCCACGGCUUAACCGUGGAAGUGCAUUUGAAACUGUCAGACUUGAGUACCAGAGGGGAAAGUGGAAUUCCCGGUGUAGAGGUGAAAUUCGUAGAUAUCGGGAGGAAUACCGGUGGCGAAGGCGACUUUCUGGCUGGAUACUGACGCUGAGGCGCGAAAGCGUGGGGAGCAAACA
rnacentral:rRNA from 1 species